AAAUUGAAGAGUUUGAUCAUGGCUCAGAUUGAACGCUGGCGGCAGGCCUAACACAUGCAAGUCGAACGGUAACAGGAAGCAGCUUACUGCUUUGCUGACGAGUGGCGGACGGGUGAGUAAUGUCUGGGAAACUGCCUGAUGGAGGGGGAUAACUACUGGAAACGGUAGCUAAUACCGCAUAACGUCGCAAGACCAAAGAGGGGGACCUUCGGGCCUCUUGCCAUCGGAUGUGCCCAGAUGGGAUUAGCUUGUUGGUGGGGUAACGGCUCACCAAGGCGACGAUCCCUAGCUGGUCUGAGAGGAUGACCAGCCACACUGGAACUGAGACACGGUCCAGACUCCUACGGGAGGCAGCAGUGGGGAAUAUUGCACAAUGGGCGCAAGCCUGAUGCAGCCAUGCCGCGUGUAUGAAGAAGGCCUUCGGGUUGUAAAGUACUUUCAGCGGGGAGGAAGGGAGUAAAGUUAAUACCUUU
rnacentral:rRNA from 1 species